GGCUGGUUCAAAGAUAAUGACUUAUCUCAACUGAUUGUUCAUAGCUACAGAUCGAACUCCUUGUUCGACGCUUUCCUUCUUUCUCACUACUGCACUUGAUUAGUCUAAA
ensembl:misc_RNA Y_RNA Y RNA